GGGGAAAAGUACAUUGGUGGAGAGAACCAAUAUCUGAGUAUUCGAUCAGAAACCAUUGCCACUUAUGCUCUCUGUGGAUUUGCAAACUUUGGCUCUUUGGGACUCGUAAUUGGAGGACUCACAUCCAUGGCACCUUCCCGG